UCUUGUACCAGUUGUUCAAGUGCCUGCAAUU
rnacentral:piRNA from 1 species